rnacentral:lncRNA from 1 species
UGGUGUGCUACGGGGGCGUUGCGCUCUGUGAGUGAGGAUGAAUUGUAACAUCCCGAUUUCUGGUAUGUGUGGAAAAGGUUAAGAGAAUUGAUUUGGCUAUCUACGUCAUCAAAAUGCACUUACUUUUUUCGUCACACAUCCAUUUAAAAUUUUAAAGUUAAGCGUGCUUGGGUUGGAGUAGUGAAAUGAUGGGUGAUCUCUUUGGAAG